rnacentral:rRNA from 1 species
GCGACUUAUAUUCUGUAGCAAGGUUAACCGAAUAGGGGAGCCGAAGGGAAACCGAGUCUUAACUGGGCGUUAAGUUGCAGGGUAUAGACCCGAAACCCGGUGAUCUAGCCAUGGGCAGGUUGAAGGUUGGGUAACACUAACUGGAGGACCGAACCGACUAAUGUUGAAAAAUUAGCGGAUGACUUGUGGCUGGGGGUGAAAGGCCAAUCAAACCGGGAGAUAGCUGGUUCUCCCCGAAAGCUAUUUAGGUAGCGCCUCGUGAAUUCAUCUCCGGGGGUAGAGCACUGUUUCGGCAAGGGGGUCAUCCCGACUUACCAACCCGAUGCAAACUGCGAAUACCGGAGAAUGUUAUCACGGGAGACACACGGCGGGUGCUAACGUCCGUCGUGAAGAGGGAAACAACCCAGACCGCCAGCUAAGGUCCCAAAGUCAUGGUUAAGUGGGAAACGAUGUGGGAAGGCCCAGACAGCCAGGAUGUUGGCUUAGAAGCAGCCAUCAUUUAAAGAAAGCGUAAUAGCUCACUGGUCGAGUCGGCCUGCGCGGAAGAUGUAACGGGGCUAAACCAUGCACCGAAGCUGCGGCAGCGACACUAUGUGUUGUUGGGUAGGGGAGCGUUCUGUAAGCCUGUGAAGGUGGCCUGUGAGGGUUGCUGGAGGUAUCAGAAGUGCGAAUGCUGACAUAAGUAACGAUAAAGCGGGUGAAAAGCCCGCUCGCCGGAAGACCAAGGGUUCCUGUCCAACGUUAAUCGGGGCAGGGUGAGUCGACCCCUAAGGCGAGGCCGAAAGGCGUAGUCGAUGGGAAACAGGUUAAUAUUCCUGUACUUGGUGUUACUGCGAAGGGGGGACGGAGAAGGCUAUGUUGGCCGGGCGACGGUUGUCCCGGUUUAAGCGUGUAGGCUGGUUUUCCAGGCAAAUCCGGAAAAUCAAGGCUGAGGCGUGAUGACGAGGCACUACGGUGCUGAAGCGACAAAUGCCCUGCUUCCAGGAAAAGCCUCUAAGCAUCAGGUAACAUCAAAUCGUACCCCAAACCGACACAGGUGGUCAGGUAGAGAAUACCAAGGCGCUUGAGAGAACUCGGGUGAAGGAACUAGGCAAAAUGGUGCCGUAACUUCGGGAGAAGGCACGCUGAUAUGUAGGUGAAGCGACUUGCUCGUGGAGCUGAAAUCAGUCGAAGAUACCAGCUGGCUGCAACUGUUUAUUAAAAACACAGCACUGUGCAAACACGAAAGUGGACGUAUACGGUGUGACGCCUGCCCGGUGCCGGAAGGUUAAUUGAUGGGGUUAGCGGUAACGCGAAGCUCUUGAUCGAAGCCCCGGUAAACGGCGGCCGUAACUAUAACGGUCCUAAGGUAGCGAAAUUCCUUGUCGGGUAAGUUCCGACCUGCACGAAUGGCGUAAUGAUGGCCAGGCUGUCUCCACCCGAGACUCAGUGAAAUUGAACUCGCUGUGAAGAUGCAGUGUACCCGCGGCAAGACGGAAAGACCCCGUGAACCUUUACUAUAGCUUGACACUGAACAUUGAGCCUUGAUGUGUAGGAUAGGUGGGAGGCUUUGAAGUGUGGACGCCAGUCUGCAUGGAGCCGACCUUGAAAUACCACCCUUUAAUGUUUGAUGUUCUAACGUGGGCCCCUUACCGGGGUUGCGGACAGUGUCUGGUGGGUAGUUUGACUGGGGCGGUCUCCUCCUAAAGAGUAACGGAGGAGCACGAAGGUUGGCUAAUCCUGGUCGGACAUCAGGAGGUUAGUGCAAUGGCAUAAGCCAGCUUGACUGCGAGCGUGACGGCGCGAGCAGGUGCGAAAGCAGGUCAUAGUGAUCCGGUGGUUCUGAAUGGAAGGGCCAUCGCUCAACGGAUAAAAGGUACUCCGGGGAUAACAGGCUGAUACCGCCCAAGAGUUCAUAUCGACGGCGGUGUUUGGCACCUCGAUGUCGGCUCAUCACAUCCUGGGGCUGAAGUAGGUCCCAAGGGUAUGGCUGUUCGCCAUUUAAAGUGGUACGCGAGCUGGGUUUAGAACGUCGUGAGACAGUUCGGUCCCUAUCUGCCGUGGGCGCUGGAGAACUGAGGGGGGCUGCUCCUAGUACGAGAGGACCGGAGUGGACGCAUCACUGGUGUUCGGGUUGUCAUGCCAAUGGCACUGCCCGGUAGCUAAAUGCGGAAGAGAUAAGUGCUGAAAGCAUCUAAGCACGAAACUUGCCCCGAGAUGAGUUCUCCCUGACUCCUUGAGAGUCCUGAAGGAACGUUGAAGACGACGACGUUGAUAGGCCGGGUGUGUAAGCGCAGCGAUGCGUUGAGCUAACCGGUACUAAUGAACCGUGAGGCUUAACCUUACAACGCCGAAG